AAAGUAAAAGAUAGACUUGGCUUCACAGAGGCUGGUCUCACGCGUCUUCUCUCGCCGACGCCUUUCAUCCUGAGGGUACCCCUGGAUCCUACCGAGGCUGGACCCCGGCAAGUGGUGCCACGAACAGGGACCCGAAGGGUGCUGACUCGCCAAUUUGGAUUCCGGACAGAUAGAUUCGCCAUGUUGCAAUCCCCCAGACAUCCGGUUCCCCCAUUGCUUUGACCACAAAAGACGAAGGGCACUCCUCUGCCCCUGCCUCCGCCACCCACCUGGGAAGUCCAGCAGACUCUGAAACAACCGGCAGCGGAGAUCCUGAAAGAACAAAUGGUAGAUCCACCCACUAAACAGAUGUCACGGCUUUGCAUAAAAGACCGUGAUCCUCCUACUCCUUUACGUAGUAGAAAACCACCAAGACGUCCUGCGCGGACAACUCAACAAGCCUACAUACCCACAUGGGGGCAAAUUAAGUCGCUUUGCCAUCAAGCACAGGGAAUAGCUUCUCUACAGGGAUCUUCAGCCUGUCCCGAAAGAGUUUUUAUUGCUAUGCUUUCUUUACCUUCUUGCCAGUUAAGUGGUACCUCUUCCACAUCAGAAAAAUACUGAGAAUAUUUCUCUGAUCCCCCGACCUUCCAAGUAGUUACUUGGAACAAUGACCCUAUAUGGGUCAACACAAACCAGCCUCAUCUCUUGGGAGGAUCCUAUGCUUCCUAUGAUAAAGAUCACCAUCCCAUUAAUUUUAACUAUACUUUUAGGGGAUUAACGGAUGACUUUCCCAUUUGCUUUAACUUCCCCCAUAGUUAUACAAGAGAUCUUAUCACCCCCUCUAAAGAGGGGUGUGUCGGAGCCUCCAAAAAAGCAAUUCUGACAGAUUCUCCAGCAUCAAAAUUUUCAGAUAAAACAGGAGAUCGGCUGGUUUGGAUAUUACAGGCCCAUAGGCCUGGGGUCCUUGACCCCUAUAAAUCCUUGUUCCUCAACGUUCCACCAAAAUAUCCAAAUUGUAUUGAUGUUGCUCCUUCAGACGUCAUAUGGAAAACUAUAGACAACCUCCUGGGAUAUCUGGUAUGGAAAUCUUGUACUUAUAAUUCGAAAAUAGAUUAUAGAAUACCGGGAGGCGGAAACUAUUCGGUACAAGACUGGAGCAAUCCAGACCCAAGUCAGGAUCCAGGAUCUGUUCCUGACUAUGCCAAUAGGUUUAGCAAUUGGAAAGAUGAUUCCAUCCUUUGGCUGUUGGCGGCCAGCAAAUGGCAUUAUGAUCAAUUUGUUCCCCCCAUGUUGUCCUAUACAACUAAGGGCAAAACUUUUUGGCAACCAGAAAUUUGGAGAGCCCUUGCUGCCACCUCCAUUGUUACUCUAUCCGGCCAGAAAACGAUUCCACCUAUUCUGUGCUGGCUUGUUUACCCUCCCCUUACGUUUUUUUGUUCACUGAUGACUCUAAAAGGCUUCAUAUACAGAUGAACUAUUCAGGUGGACCAAAUAUAGCCUACUGUGAACAAUGCAUGCUCUCGUCCUGCCUAACCUCUCAAUAUAAUAUUUGUUCCUUUGUGGUGCUGCAACGCCCACCUUACCUUAUGGUGCCCGUCACAGUGAGUACCUAUUGGUAUGACAAUUAUGGUCUAGCUGUUCUGCAACAACUGCAAGAUUUAAUGUGAUCCCGAUGGUUUGUAGGACUGCUUAUCUUAGGGAUUUCAGCUUUGAUAACAGCAAUUACCUCUGUCACUGUGGCGGCGAUAUCAUUGACUCAACAGGUACAUACUGCUCGAUAUGUCAGUGAUAUGUCAAAAAAAUGUUUCUUUAGCUUUAGCUAUGCAAGAGAUUAUAGAUAGGAAAUUAGAAGUAAAAAUAGACUCCCUAGAAGAAGUGGUCAUACAUAUUGGAACUGAGUUGCAGGCUUUAAGGGUAAAGUUAGCAUUAGCCUGUCACCCUGACUAUCGGUGGAUCUGUGUAACACCCCUAAAAGUAAAUGAUACCGAUUACAAUUGGGAAAAGAUUAAAAAUCAUAUUUCGGGUGUAUGGAAUAGCUCCAGCAUUAGUUUAGAUCUUGGAAAGCUUCACGGUCAGAUAAAAAUCUUAGAACAUCCCCGUCUGGACUUUACUGCUGCAGGGGCUGCUAAUGAUUUUUUUUGAACUUUUUCUAACUUUAUUACUGGAAAAAAUAUCCUAUCAACUAUCUUCAGUUAUGCUGCUGUAGCAGCCCUAGUCCUACUUCUCAUUAUAAUCCUUCCUUGUAUUGUCAGAACUCCCCGGCAAAACACUCAAAAGCUCGCGACUGAGAUCCAUCUGGCUGUCUUAAA